GGGACACUGAGCUACUAUGUUGACCUCUGGCUUCCUGGGGCUCCCUCUGGCCCUGCGUUCUGCAGAACACGAAAACCGGGGAGCUCAGGCGGUGCGGCUGAGUCGAGACUGCUCAGCAGGAUUCUGCAUACCUUCCUUCAAGAUGAACAACAGUGUUGUGGUAUAGAUCAGAAGAUUGUCUAAAGCAUCAGCUCCCUGGGG